rnacentral:pre_miRNA from 1 species
GAGAUACCCCUAUGAAGCAUGACUUGCUUCAGUGGGGCUUUGGUGCUCCCUGAGUCUGUCUCUUGAGCGUGUCACU